GACGAACGCUGGCGGCGUGCUUAACACAUGCAAGUCGAACGGAAAGGCCCUGCUCUUGUGGGGUGCUCGAGUGGCGAACGGGUGAGUAACACGUGAGUAACCUGCCCUUGACUUUGGGAUAACUUCAGGAAACUGGGGCUAAUACCGGAUAGGAGCUCCUGCUGCAUGGUGGGGGUUGGACAGUUUCGGCGGGUGGGGAUGGACUCGCGGCUUAUCAGCUUGUUGGUGGGGUAGUGGCUUACCAAGGCUUUGACGGGUAGCCGGCCUGGGAGGGUGACCGGCCACAUGGGGACUGAGAGACGGCCCAGACGCCUACGGGAGGCAGCAGUGGAGAAUAUUGCACAAUGGGCGGAAGCCUGAUGCAGCAACGCCGCGUGCGGGAUGACGGCCUGCGGGUUGUAAACCGCUUUCGCCUGUGACGAAGCGUGAGUGACGGUAAUGGGUAAAGAAGCACCGGCUAACUACGUG
rnacentral:rRNA from 1 species